GAUGAACGCUGGCGGCGUGCCUAAUACAUGCAAGUCGAGCGAACAGAUGAGGAGCUUGCUCCUCUGACGUUAGCGGCGGACGGGUGAGUAACACAUGGAUAACCUACCUAUAAGACUGGGAUAACUUCGGGAAACCGGAGCUAAUACCGGAUAAUAUAUUGAACCGCAUGGUUCAAUAGUGAAAGACGGUUUUGCUGUCACUUAUAGAUGGAUCCGCGCCGCAUUAGCUAGUUGGUAAGGUAACGGCUUACCAAGGCAAUGAUGCGUAGCCGACCUGAGAGGGUGAUCGGCCACACUGGAACUGAGACACGGUCCAGACUCCUACGGGAGGCAGCAGUAGGGAAUCUUCCGCAAUGGGCGAAAGCCUGACGGAGCAACGCCGCGUGAGUGAUGAAGGUCUUCGGAUCGUAAAACUCUGUUAUUAGGGAAGAACAAAUGUGUAAGUAACUAUGCACGUCUUGACGGUACCUAAUCAGAAAGCCACGGCUAACUACGUG
rnacentral:rRNA from 1 species